CAUUUAGAUUUAACAUUUAUAUAUAUAUAUAUACACUCACCUAAAGGAUUAUUAGGAACACCUGUUCAAUUUCUCAUUAAUGCAAUUAUCUAAUCAUCCAAUCACUUGGCAGUUGCUUCAAUGCAUUUAGGGGUGUGGUCCUGGUCAAGACAAUAUCCUGAACUCCAAACUGAAUGUCAGAAUGGGAAAGAAAGGUGAUUUAAGCAAUUUUGAGCAUGGCAUGGUUGUUGGUGCCAGACGGGUCGGUCUGAGUAUUUCACAAUCUGCUCAGUUACUGGGAUUUUCACGCACAACCAUUUCUAGGGUUUACAAAGAAUGGUGUGAAAAGGGAAAAACAUCCAGUAUGCGGCAGUCCUGUGGGUGAAAAUGCCUUGUUGAUGCUAGAGGUCAGAGGAGAAUGGGCCGACUGAUUCAAGCUGAAAGAAGAGCAACUUUGACUGAAAUAACCACUCGUUACAACCGAGGUAUGCAGCAAAGCAUUUGUCAAGCCACAACACGCACAUGUAGACUGCAAAAUAUUGAAUGAAAUAAAGUAUACUGUCAACUUUUACUUUGAAAAUGCUGUGUGGGUUGAGGGGAACCGGAAAUUUCUUUUCUUCGUCCCAUUCCUAUUGUUUGUAGCUUGGCUAGCUAGCUAUUCUCCCGAUGGGGAAACUCUUCGCUCAUCGGUAUUUCGAAAUCCAUAGUACCACACAUAUUUAUUAGACAUUUUAAAGUGUAUAAUAACCAUAGACGACCCUUGAAAAUGAACACAAUAGUUGGAUCUAUGUGGAAUUCCAAGGCUUUACACGAGCAGUUAGCGUCCAUCAUGGGGGCGUUGACCAAGGCAGCGGUGGCAGACAUCUGUGAAGUCGUUGAUGAAGGUUAUGCGAUUUUGCAAUUAGAAAUAUCAAGAAGCUAUAAGGAGAACGAGGACCUCAAGAAGAAACUGCAUUUGAUCGAGUCUAUAAUUGCCCGAGGAAGCGAUGGGAAAGGCGGAGCUCAAGAUGUUGCUACAGAACCAGUCCCACCGCCAGGUGAAUGUGUCCUUCCAAAGCCGUCUCUGCCGGAGGACACCUGUCAUAAAAGUAAUGGGAUCAUAACUACUGGAAAUCGCUAUUUUGUUGAGGAAGAAGAGUUACCUGAUGUGGUGCUCAUCAAAGAUGAGGACUCCGAAGACUGUGAUACACAUGAGGAAGGUGAGCAACAGAGAGCAGAUCUGUGUGGUGUUAAUCGCUCAGACACAAAACUAAGUAACUGGCAUCUGAUCAAAUUACGCAUGACACGUAGUUUUUUAUCCAUUUCAGAUAAUGUUUUGCUCUAAUCUAAUGUGUCCUGUAUAACAGAAUUAAGGAAGUUAGCUUCUGCCUAUAUGGGUUGGCGCAAUGCAUACACUGUUUUGCUCCCCACCCAACGUCAUGCAGUUCAACUGUUAAUUAACGCGUUGCAUAAUCACAGGUUUGGGAUAGUCAAAGAUCGAGAUGUGCUCAA
rnacentral:lncRNA from 1 species